UACGUAGGGUGCGAGCGUUGUCCGGAAUUAUUGGGCGUAAAGGGCUCGUAGGCGGUUUGUCGCGUCGGGAGUGAAAACACACAGCUUAACUGUGUGCUUGCUUCCGAUACGGGCAGACUAGAGGUAUGCAGGGGAGAACGGAAUUCCUGGUGUAGCGGUGAAAUGCGCAGAUAUCAGGAGGAACACCGGUGGCGAAGGCGGUUCUCUGGGCAUUACCUGACGCUGAGGAGCGAAAGCAUGGGGGAGCGAACAGG
rnacentral:rRNA from 1 species